AUUGAACGCUGGCGGCAGGCCUAACACAUGCAAGUCGAGCGGAUGAAGGGAGCUUGCUCCUGGAUUCAGCGGCGGACGGGUGAGUAAUGCCUAGGAAUCUGCCUGGUAGUGGGGGAUAACGUCCGGAAACGGGCGCUAAUACCGCAUACGUCCUGAGGGAGAAAGUGGGGGAUCUUCGGACCUCACGCUAUCAGAUGGGCCUAGGUCGGAUUAGCUAGUUGGUGGGGUAAAGGCCUACCAAGGCGACGAUCCGUAACUGGUCUGAGAGGAUGAUCAGUCACACUGGAACUGAGACACGGUCCAGACUCCUACGGGAGGCAGCAGUGGGGAAUAUUGGACAAUGGGCGAAAGCCUGAUCCAGCCAUGCCGCGUGUGUGAAGAAGGUCUUCGGAUUGUAAAGCACUUUAAGUUGGGAGGAAGGGCGGUAAGUUAAUACCUUGCUGUUUUGACGUUACCAACAGAAUAAGCACCGGCUAACUUCGUG
rnacentral:rRNA from 1 species